rnacentral:rRNA from 1 species
AUUGAACGCUGGCGGCAUGCCUUACACGUGCAAGUCGAACGGUAACAGGUUAAGCUGACGAGUGGCGAACGGGUGAGUAAUGUAUCGGAACGUGCCCAGUCGUGGGGGAUAACUGCUCGAAAGAGCAGCUAAUACCGCAUACGACCUGAGGGUGAAAGCGGGGGAUCGCAAGACCUCGCGCGAUUGGAGCGGCCGAUAUCAGAUUAGGUAGUUGGUGAGGUAAAGGCUCACCAAGCCGACGAUCUGUAGCUGGUCUGAGAGGACGACCAGCCACACUGGGACUGAGACACGGCCCAGACUCCUACGGGAGGCAGCAGUGGGGAAUUUUGGACAAUGGGCGCAAGCCUGGUCCAGCCAUGCCGCGUGCGGGAAGAAGGCCUUCGGGUUGUAAACCGCUUUUGUCAGGGAAGAAAAGGUUCUGGCUAAUACCUGGGACUCAUGACGGUACCUGAAGAAUAAGCACCGGCUAACUACGUGCCAGCCGCCGCUGUAAAAC